GCUUAACACAUGCAAGUCGAGGGGCAUCAGGAAGAAAGCUUGCUUUCUUUGCUGGCGACCGGCGCACGGGUGAGUAACACGUAUCCAACCUGCCCUUUACUCGGGGAUAGCCUUUCGAAAGAAAGAUUAAUACCCGAUAGCAUAAUGAUUCCGCAUGGUUUCAUUAUUAAAGGAUUCCGGUAAAGGAUGGGGAUGCGUUCCAUUAGGUUGUUGGUGAGGUAACGGCCCACCAAGCCUUCGAUGGAUAGGGGUUCUGAGAGGAAGGUCCCCCACAUUGGAACUGAGACACGGUCCAAACUCCUACGGGAGGCAGCAGUGAGGAAUAUUGGUCAAUGGGCGCUAGCCUGAACCAGCCAAGUAGCGUGAAGGAUGAAGGCUCUAUGGGUCGUAAACUUCUUUUAUAUAAGAAUAAAGUGCAGUAUGUAUACUGUUUUGUAUGUAUUAUAUGAAUAAGGAUCGGCUAACUCCGUGCCAGCAGCCGCGGUAAUACGGAGGAUCCGAGCGUUAUCCGGAUUUAUUGGGUUUAAAGGGAGCGUAGGUGGACUGGUAAGUCAGUUGUGAAAGUUUGCGGCUCAACCGUAAAAUUGCAGUUGAUACUGUCAGUCUUGAGUACAGUAGAGGUGGGCGGAAUUCGUGGUGUAGCGGUGAAAUGCUUAGAUAUCACGAAGAACUCCGAUUGCGAAGGCAGCUCACUGGACUGCAACUGACACUGAUGCUCGAAAGUGUGGGUAUCAAACAGGAUUAGAUACCCUGGUAGUCCACACAGUAAACGAUGAAUACUCGCUGUUUGCGAUAUACAGUAAGCGGCCAAGCGAAAGCAUUAAGUAUUCCACCUGGGGAGUACGCCGGCAACGGUGAAACUCAAAGGAAUUGACGGGGGCCCGCACAAGCGGAGGAACAUGUGGUUUAAUUCGAUGAUACGCGAGGAACCUUACCCGGGCUUAAAUUGCAGUGGAAUGAUGUGGAAACAUGUCAGUGAGCAAUCACCGCUGUGAAGGUGCUGCAUGGUUGUCGUCAGCUCGUGCCGUGAGGUGUCGGCUUAAGUGCCAUAACGAGCGCAACCCUUAUCUUUAGUUACUAACAGGUUAUGCUGAGGACUCUAGAGAGACUGCCGUCGUAAGAUGUGAGGAAGGUGGGGAUGACGUCAAAUCAGCACGGCCCUUACGUCCGGGGCUACACACGUGUUACAAUGGGGGGUACAGAAGGCAGCUAGCGGGUGACCGUAUGCUAAUCCCAAAAUCCUCUCUCAGUUCGGAUCGAAGUCUGCAACCCGACUUCGUGAAGCUGGAUUCGCUAGUAAUCGCGCAUCAGCCACGGCGCGGUGAAUACGUUCCCGGGCCUUGUACACACCGCCCGUCAAGCCAUGGGAGCCGGGGGUACCUGAAGUACGUAACCGCAAGGAUCGUCCUAGGGUAAAACUGGUGACUGGGGCUAA
rnacentral:rRNA from 1 species